UCUCGUUGUCGCGAUGGACAGCCUCACGGUCUGGAAUUCGCUGAUUCUGAAUGGUGAUGAAAGAAUAGGUACUUCAUUUUCUUAUUCAGUUUGUAGAAUUAAAGAGAGGAUUUGCGUAGGGCUGAGACAUUUUGCCGAAAUGCAGCAGUAGGAAUCUCUCAAGCUUGGGAUAUCUAUUCUCGCCAUGUUUUGUAGAAUUCCCAAGCUUGCAUCUUCGAGCAUCUUUCUCUAAUUUCCUUUUUCUCUUCUACUGAAGGAAUAAAAACAAGGACGCUGAGUGCUUGUUAAGUUUUGGCACAGCUUCAGACAAAGGCUUUGUAGCCAGUCGAGAAUUUUCCAAGCCAUUGGCGGCCUUCUCUAAAGUACUGCACCAGGUCUCUGUGUUUGCUUUCAAGGCUAGAGCUUUAUUUUUUCUUUUCAUUUACCUUCAUCGUUACAGAAGUUCAAGAGGUUGUUGUGAAGCUCUUACAUUUCUUUGUGACAAGGCUCACUAUGGAGGACAAAACUUCGGAAUCAGCGCAAGAACUAUCCUUUGUCGAGGCAUCUGUCGCUGCAGCAAAAUCCUGGGAUGUUUAAAGUGAUGGAAGUGUUGAAAAUACUUUUGAUCUGGGAGGCCAGUCGGAAGUGUAGAGAAGGGAAGGUGUUAAGUAAAAGUUACAAGACGGGCUCUUACAUUCGCGUUUAUGGAUUUGGGACAGGACAAAGGUGGCAAGCAAAGACGAAAAGCCCAACAGGACUUCCCUCCAGUGCCGAAGAAGCCCAAAGCCGAGGCGCUUUGGAUCGUGCACUGUUGAUUAGGCAAAAUAGGAAUAUUACUGGAUAACCAGUCCCGUCUCCCUGAAUUUGAAAUCUUCUAACUUUAUUGUAUGCAAGUGAGCAUGAAA